AACUGUGUGAGUUUUUGUGAGUUUUGUAAUUAAUCUUUAAGCUUUUUGGUUCGUGUGAGCUUCGUUUUGUGUAAGCUUUUGUGUGCGUCUUUCAAAUAUGAGUUGCCUGUGACGCAGCAGAAACGGUUAACGUCACAUGAACUUCAUGAAGACGGGAGGAAGAAUCGGUCAUGCAUCUGUGAGCAAAAGUGGAUUUUAGAGCUUGAGAAGACUGUUCAACUGACUGAUACGAAUAAUGUCUGGAAUGAAAGAAGUCCUGAAAGAUGCUGUAUUGUUGGUGUUGCCAAGCCUAUCUCCAGAUGUAACCAACCAGCUUGUUGAGAAGCUCAUGGACCAAGGUGUCGAAGGCUUGGAUGAUUUGGUUUAUGUAAAAGAUGAUGACAUUUUGGAGUUUAUAAGACCUAUCCAAUGCAGAAAACUUCUUAGUUCAUGGAAAAAUCAAGGUCAAUCUCUGAGCAACCAGCGCUGGAUGUUGAGUUUGGAGGGUCAAGUUGUGUGUGAAGGAGCACAGCCCAACUUCAUCACUGGCCUGGCAGCGCUGUUUGCCUCCUUCUAUAAUUUCAAUUUACAGUACCAGGAAGAGGCAGCAUGCACCCUUGAGUUUGUUCAGAGGUAAGUCAUUAGCAUAUUUGACAUAUGUUUUAGACUGAAUUGUCACUAACCUUUGUCUUGACAGUAUUUGUUAAGGACUUCAUUUUUUUUCAAAAACGUUUUGUACAGCUGACUACUGGGAAUAACAACAUGGACCUGGUUUCACACACUGCAAA